rfam:Echinostoma caproni strain Egypt genome assembly, scaffold: ECPE_scaffold0000294
GCACUGCUGAUGAGACCCAACCAGGUCGAAAGAGCUGUUCAGUGU